CAGGGCUUUCGUCUUGUAAUUGGAAUGAUGGUGAUGUACAACCUCACCAGAGUACCAAUUGGAGGGCAAGUCUGGUGCCAGCAGCCGCGGUAAUUCCAGCUCCAAUAGCGUAUAUUAAACUUGUUGCAGUUAAAAAGCUCGUAGUUGUAUUUCAGCCUCGCGUUUUUUCCCUGGUUUUGGGUCUUUUCGCUGGCUUUCUUUUUACUUUGAGAAAAUUAGAGUGUUUCAAGCAGACUUUUGUCUUGAAUACUUCAGCAUGGAAUAAUAGAGUAGGACCUUGGUUCUAUUUUGUUGGUUUUGAGCCUUGGUAAUGGUUAAUAGGAACGGUUGGGGGCAUUCGUAUUUAACUGUCAGAGGUGAAAUUCUUAGAUUUGUUAAAGACGAACCACUGCGAAAGCAUUUGCCAAGGACGUUUUCAUUAAUCAAGAAC
rnacentral:rRNA from 1 species